UAAAGGAAUGUAGAGUGUCAGUGUAUUGUCCUAUUGCAAGAACAAGGUACGUGGCAACAUGUGAACGAGCCACGACUGCAUGCGCUGUUGACAGAAUUGGGCUGUAGUUUACAGGCCUAAAACAAAGAGAUGUCAGAUUUAAAUUAUGGGCCCUUAUCUUUUGCAACCGUCGCAUACUACCCACAAGAUUUAGGUGAAACCACUAAACUAUUUAAAAGCAGCCCUUAUCUUCACCACCUCCUCCUACAAAAUUCAAGAUUGGAGAUGAAAUUGUUAAAUAAGGUAAAGUUUUUGCCAUUCAAAAGAGAUCAUAUUUUAGAAAAUUUACUUUUGGCAAUGUUAGUAUGUAUUUUAUUUUGUAAUUAUCAGAAAUUGACUUUCUUGGUUUUUGUUUUAGCUUCUUUUCAUCUGCCAUUUAAAUUAAUAGUUGAUUUUGCGUUAUAAUAUUAAAUACAGACAAUUCAGGUCAAACAUAACAAAAAAGGAAAAUUCAUUUAAAAAAAGAUUAUUUGUCUAAAUUCAAAAUCCAGAGGUGGAACUAGGUACGGGCGAGCCCGUGCGGCCAUCCGGCCUCGCCGGAGAGUCACCAAGGAUUAAUGACAAACCCUCCCAUUUUCCAAUUUGUGUUUUUUUUUUAUAUUUUGCCCUUUUUUCAAUGUUUUGGGUAAAUGAGUAGUUUAGCCCCUAUUUAAAACCAUAAAGACAUUUUUACCCUUCUUUUUCAAAAAUCUAAAACUAAAUUUUAAUCGACAAUAUAAAUUCAAAAUUUUACUUGAAAUCUAACCCCCCCCCCUCGACAUUUGGUCCUGGUUCUAUCACUACCAAGAUCACCCAUGAUGUUCCUGCUCAUAGACACUCCAAUAUAAACACCACUGACAUCAUUUUGAGGGGGUCUUUUGGCGAAUCCACCAUCUACUCCAUUAGGCUUUGAGGAUAUUAAAGACGCAGACAUUAAGCGCUACUCCAAAUUUAUACGUUCACUUGUCGAUUCUAAGAGCUAUUCAACCUAUCUGUUAACGGAGAUAUGGGGCUGUAAUCAUAGUUAUUCUUCCCUCACCACAUGGCGCACUCAGCAUCUCAAGCUCUCUAGUUUGGCCAUAUGAUCCGUAAGUUCUCCUAUAUGUUUUCAUAUACAUUAUUGAUGUUUUAUUGUCAUCAUUUAUGUUGUCAUUGCUUUAUUAGAUACUCCCUCCGGCCCAUUUAAGAAGGGACAUAUCUCAUUUUUAUUUGUCCCACUUAAGAAGGCCAUAUCGUGUUUUUUGUGCCAAUUUAUAUGAAUUUUCCUUUUUUACCCCCUUUUGUCUUUCCAUAAUUAAUGACUAUUAGUCUAUACACAAAAUACAACACUAUCAUAAAUAGGGGUAAAAUAAGAAAACACCAUAGUAGUUAAUGUUUUCUUAAUAUAUGUGAAAAGGUCAUUUGUCCCUUCUUAAAUGGGACGGAGGGAGUAAAUUUUAUUUGUAUGUAAGGUUAAUCGACUCGUAAAGCGAGUAUGCCAAAGUCCGUAAGUACAAUAUGUCACAUUCAUUUAUUUAAUUUCACGUUAUUUGUAGUAAAAUUGAAUGCAUAAUUUUUUUAUGCUGAUUAAUUCUAGCGUAUGUUGUUUGAUUCUCAA